AGGUCACGCUUGGGUUUGGCAGAGCCGUUGGCGUUUGAGGUACGUCCGUCCCUUUGGUGACUGCAACCACGUGUGCUCCUCCUCCUCCUCCAGUCCAUAUCCAUUUACCUACUCCUAUUCCUAUAUUUCCAUUUCCAUUUUUUAAUUUCAAAUAAUAAAUAAUAGCUUAUUUUUCUACUCUAUAAAAGCACAACAGGUACAUAUCAAUCUUCAGUUUCCCAUCCUAACUCCCCUUCUAAAAAUAAAGACUUACUACCUUCACCUGGCUGCCUAUCAAUUCUUUAUUUUCCCUCUAUUUCCUUCCCUAUCUUGUCAUUAUUUUCACUGAAAAUCUGCCUCCGUGAUCUCACUUCCCUCUCACUCCUCCUCUCCAAACAGUUACUUUUUCUUUAUAUCCUCUGUAUUAUCUCCCCCUUCGCUUUCAAAGGCGUUUCAUUUUCUCUCCUACAGUUAAUCCAAUCCUUAAUUAGAUGGCUUCUUUUAAUUUUAACAACGUGAAAGCUGAGAAAGCAGAAGCUAUGAGAAGGUACAAUCGCCAGAAAAAGUUGAAAAGUUUUCGUUUCCUUCUAGAAGUUGUCGCGGCUAUGGCUUUGCUCUCAUGGUCCUCUUAUACUUACAUCCCCGUCGCCACUGAGAUGGCCAAAGAUUUUCUCAGCCAACCCGUCGCUGUUUUCGAUCGGUCUUUGUUCGUUUUAGUGAUAGUCAACGUGCUCAUUCUACUUAUCUUUGUUUCCUCCUCCCAAACGCCGGAAAAAUCAGAUUUUUACGACGAGUACGUCAACAUCACCACCAACGUCUCUCGCCGGAGCGUUCCCGCAGCCGAACAAUCUCCAGAGCUGAAGGAAACAACUUUAUCUGACAAACAAAUCGUUUGUGUGGAUAAUGCGGUGAAUUCUCAAGUCGAUAAAAACGUUGUUCUUAAUCCUUCUGUUACUGCGACGGACUCUGAACCGAAAGAAAAGCAUGUGAUUUCUCCAGUUCGGUGUAGUACGGUUGAUGCGGUGAGUGAGCCGAAGAGGUACAGAAGGAGUCGGUCGGAGCGUUUGGAACAAGAGAAGCGGAGGGAGCUGCGGAGAUCAAAGACGGUGGUGAACCGGGAAAUGGUAGGAGAAAAAAGUGAACCGGCUAGGCGGUCGAGUGCCAUGGAUGAUUUGAGCAGUGAAGAGUUUAGGAUGACAAUAGAGACUUUUAUUGCUUCCAAGAAGAAAACUUUAAUUCAAGAGAACACUCUUGAUCUUAAGCUAGAAAAAAAUCAGUGUGUGGCCAUCACUCUGAGUGCUGUUAACUGAGAACAUCUUGUUUCAAAAAUAAAUUACAGGAUAAUUACGAUAUGAAUCGCGAGAAAAGAAUUGGGCUGAAGUUUACAAGGAACGUAUCGGAUCUCUUUUGCUGUUGCAAUUCCACCUCUGAAUCCCAAACUUGAUGCUAGUAAUUAGGUAUUAGCAUUUCUUUAGCCUUAAAAAAAAAUGAUAAGAGAAAAUAUAAGGGUGUAUAGAAGAAGUCCCUCUAUCGUCCUUAGGCUUGAAGUCUAGAUGGGGGACGAGAUUCUGAGUUGGGUAAAAUCAAUAAAGCAUUCUUUAUGAGCUCCAAUUGCAUAUAUAAUUGAAGACAUUUUGGCAAAUGCUACUAGAGAACAAAAGGUUCAGUCAAUCAAGGGUUUAAUAUCAUGAUCUUGAGUUUUGUAUGUUUGGAGCAAUAGCCGAAGAAAUUUAACUCUGCAAAUUAUUAAAGGACUUCAAUAAAAUUUACACAACU